rnacentral:lncRNA from 1 species
GCCGCCCCUCCUCCUCUCUUUCUAGAUAUAGGUAAGAUUUGAUUCUUAUCUCAUAUGGUAUGUAAGGAAACUUUAUUUUUGUGUGACAAAAAUCUAGAAAGAAAAAGGAGCACAUGCUAUUUUAUGGUGGGAUGUUUUUCUUGCUGCAUAACUUCAUCUCAAUGCCCACUCUUUCUUCUUCCUUCACCCCAACGCCCAAAUUCUGAUGU